GGCUACCAUUGUCUCUUAGGAACAAUAUACAGUUAGUUACUGUGCUGAUUCAAUGUUGGAUUAAGUGAACUUGUUCAGGCUUUUUCACACAUUCAGGUUUUCAUUUGAGGGUGAAGAACAUGAGCAUAUAUCCAAAACCGGCAAAACAACUGUACAAAUUUCAGGCCAUAGCCAAAUUUUAACAACUAGAUUAAUCUAUUUUUAUUUAUUUAUUUAUGAGUUGUUGUAGCUACCUGAUCCAAUGUCCAUAUUUCUCAAGGAACAACUACGUGUCUGGAGAGCAUUAAAUGGAGAUAUUUGCUUGACUAACCUUUUUUUUUUUUUAUCACUGUUGGUUUUCGGUGUACUGUCUUAAAAUUAUAUGGGUCCAUGAUAAUAACAUGUGCUGUAUUGGCUUUUACACUCAAGGGUUACUUUCU